GUACCUUCAUAGAAGUCAGAAAAAUGGAGGACAGACAUAAAAGGAUCUGAUAUGGGAUUUAAAUUUAAUUUCAUGCACCAACUAUGCCAUCUGCUCAAAGCAGAUUUAUAAUCCUGUCUCAUGUUGGGUGCACCCUUGAUAAGUUGGGGAGUUGAUUGCGAAACUCCCUUGACCGACCAAGGUUCCCUGAAAUAGACUACACUAUGAGAUGCAAAAGACCUUG